rnacentral:other from 1 species
UGCUUCCUGGCCCGUUCGCCAGAGGGUCAUGUCCCCGAGCCGAUAAUGUAAUACCCGGGGGCAAAUAUUGCCCUGCCUGUGUGCAUGUCCGCCUAUUGAGCGGAAAGCCUGAAGGUGGGGUUGCUGCCUCCACCUUGAACCUGCGGUUCAAGGGUCAAACCCGCAGCGGCGGACCGGGAAGCAC